CCCGUACUCGCGGUUGGUGUGGGGGGUGUCUGUGUGUCUGUCUGUCACCGGCCCCGCUCUCAUCCCCUUUCCCCUGCCUUUUCCCCGGGGUGGCGGCCGACGCAUCCUCCCCCUUCCCCGCGUCUCUCCGCCGCUGGCUCGCCGCAGUCGGCCCGGUGCCCCGCCGCCGCCCCGUCAGCUUGCGGUGUGAUUUCCCGGGCGGGGGAGGGUACUGGAAUCACAAGCUCAAGCCUGUGGCUGUUGCAGCACCUGAUAACAACGUGAACGUUUAAUUCAAAUCUGCAACUUAAGAACAAGCCUACGUACCUAGCCUUAUUCUUUCCUGUCACCUCUGUGCUACUGAGACCAACAUCGGCUCGUCCUUGCUUCUGAUUACCUUGUUUGGAAUCAAUCAUGGCUGAUGACUCGCAGAGAAACUUCCGUUCAGUGUAUUAUGAAAAAGUGGGGUUUCGUGGAGUUGAAGAAAAGAAGUCACUGGAAAUUCUGUUAAAAGAUGACCGGUUGGAUAUUGAGAAGCUUUGUACAUUUAGUCAAAGGUUUCCUCUCCCAUCUAUGUAUCGUAUACUGGUGUGGAAAGUGCUUCUAGGAAUUAUUCCUCCUCACCAUGAAUCUCAUGCUUUGGUGAUGAAGUACCGGAAGGAGCAGUAUUGGGAUGUACACCAUGCUCUUCGUGUAAUUCGUUUUAUUAAUGAUUCUACCCCACAGGUUGAUGUUUUCCUCCGCAUACAUCAACUGGAAUCAGGAAAAUUGCCUCGAAACUUGGCUUUUCCAUUGGAACCUGAAGAUGAAGUGUUUCUUGCUAUUGCUAAAGCAAUGGAGGAAAUGGUGGAGGAUCCUAUAGAAUGCUAUUGGCUUGUCAGUUGCUUUGUGAAUCAGCUGAACAGCAAGCACAAAGAUUCAUUACAACAACUGCCAAAAAUUCUGGAGCAGUAUUUAAACAUUGAAGAUAACAGACUUCUGAUGCAUCUGAAAGCAUGUGCUGCAAUGAGCAAACUCCCUUACGAUCUUUGGUUUAAAAAGUGUUUUGCAGGCUGUUUACCCGAGUCCAGUUUACAGAGAGUUUGGGACAAAGUUAUUAGUGGGUCCUGCAAGAUUCUUGUUUUUGUUGCUGUGGAGAUAUUAUUAACCUUUAAAAUGAAGAUAAUAGCACUGACUACUGCAGAAAAGAUCACGCAGUUUUUGGAAAAUAUUCCUCAAGACAACACUGAUGCUAUUGUCAGCAAAGCUGUUGAUCUGUGGCGCACACACUGUGGGACUCCAGCACACUCAGUCUGAGAACUUUCUUCACUUCUGAUAGCUUGGGGAAAAAAAGACAUUUGAAAAGACAUUUUACCACUCUUCCUCCAUCCUAGUGUGAUGUUCGUCAUUACUUCUAUGUAAAGAUGCUAUUACAGCAGCUAAUAGCAUAGCGAUCAAUUUGUAAAUAUUUUUCAAUAAAUACAGAUGGAAUGAAGAUACCUAGUGGCGGUGUGAUCAUAUCCAGAGUGUUUCUUGGCCAGCCAGCUACAGUGUUCUGAUCGCACAGCGUGCUCUCUGGCUUUUGGGGAAGUAAAUCUAACUCUUAAAGAAAGCUGACAUCCAAAUGUGAUGGAAACUCCAGAUAAGAAAAGUAAUGGCAGAUGUCAGAGGAUGGUGCUUGAAAAACGAUGAGUGAUUUGAAGUCUGGUAAGGGGCCUGAGAGUAUGGAAAGAAAAUCAGGAGCGGAUGGAGACAAAAGCGGCUGAAAUACAGAGGCUGAUAAAGUAACAGUGAUACAGAGCAGGUUUCUGUGGAUAGGAGAUCAACUUCCAUCACUCCACGGGACAGCUUCAGUUGAAGUUGAUGUCUUUCUGAACACCAGAGCUCCUGACCACGCGGCGCACAUUUGCUGAAAAGCCAAGCUUUCAUUCAUUCUGCCAUUUAGGGAAGAAUUUUCUAAGCAAUUUUGUACAAUUUGUAGGCAACGCGUGGUGGCGUGGGCGUAGGGUGGUGUUGCACCAUCUGCUUCUUGCCCUGACAGCUGCUUCACGGGCACUGGUGAUGUCCAUACACUCUCGGCUCACACUGCUCAGGAGUGGGGCGGCCGCUUUGUCCCACGCAGACCAGCUCGACUGCACGCUGUUGUUUCAGACUUAAUUGCCUGGAAGCCUUGUUCUGAGGCGCAAGAGCAAGGAAGAUGAUGGCAGAGGAAUCUCACCCCAUACCUGCGCCGAGCUCUUAGCUGCGCACUGCCGAGCGUCGGAGCGCUGGUGCGUGCAUGGCUGUGUGUCUGCGUGUGCACGUGCGCGCAUGCACGCUGCUCCGCGGGGGCUGCUGUCUGGCAGCACGGGGAUUCCACUGCCUUUGCAGGAUUUGCUCAGUGGCCUCCGCAUGUUUCCCGCUUCCUCCCAUCCUGCUGCGUGCC